GGCUGGUCCGAUGGCACUGGUGUUUACAACUAAUUGAUCACAAUCAGUUACAGAUUUCUUUGUUCCUUCUCCACUCUCACUGCUUCACUCGACUAGCCUAAA
ensembl:Y_RNA Y_RNA Y RNA